CCAGUAAACACACGCACGUCUCCAGAGUGCAUUUACAUAAACCAUAUACAUCUUAAAGACGAUUACUAAAUGUCUAUUUAAUAUGAGACAGGAAAAUGUACUAAAAGAAUUACAGAUGAGCACAUCACAACAUGAACACACAUCUGAGUGAGUGAUGUAUGUGUUAUUAUGUAGAAUUCACUGUCAACACUGCUUUAGAUGAAUGUAAUGUAAAUAUACAAAUCUACGUGGAGUAACUAAACAUAACUUAUCUGUUUUAUUUGUCCAUUAGUAUUGUAGAUAAACUGAGGAACAUUUGUGUUGAAUAAAAAGUGAGUUAACGCAUCAGCAACUACCUCAACAUGUAAAUGCAGUACUGAGCAGAUAAAUCACAGCUGACUGACUCUUGUCUGAUGUUACAGAAACACACGUGUGUUUAUCUGCUGAAGACUGACUGAUGGAGGAAUGCUGCCAUCAAAGGCUUUGAGGACCCCGAUCCCCCCGCAGCAGCUCGGAGUAAAGACACCGGUGGUGACGACUGCGGAGAUCAAACCAGCAACCUUCUGCUGACCAGUUCAUUACACCACAAAAGUAGUUGUUCUCAUGGAGAGCAGCACACAGAUGUUUGGAGCAGACACAGCAGCAGCCAGAUUGUCCCGCACGCGUUCUUCUGCUCUUGUUCAAGAUUGUGUGUUUCAGGGAGCCUCAUCCUCUCUGUGCUCUCAGACAAUGAUAGCCUCGAUGUCCCUCUCAUCCAUGAUCAGAUUCAGUCUGACUGCAGCAGUGAUGGACGGCAGAGACAGGUGAAGGUGGACGCGGUGGUCUUCAUCAGAAUAAAGCUGCAGAACU